AAUACAUGCAAGUCGAACGCGUUGGCCCAACUGAUUGAACGUGCUUGCACGGACUUGACGUUGGUUUACCAGCGAGUGGCGGACGGGUGAGUAACACGUAGGUAACCUGCCCCAAAGCGGGGGAUAACAUUUGGAAACAGAUGCUAAUACCGCAUAACAAUUUGAAUCGCAUGAUUCAAAUUUAAAAGAUGGCUUCGGCUAUCACUUUGGGAUGGACCUGCGGCGCAUUAGCUUGUUGGUAGGGUAACGGCCUACCAAGGCUGUGAUGCGUAGCCGAGUUGAGAGACUGAUCGGCCACAAUGGAACUGAGACACGGUCCAUACUCCUACGGGAGGCAGCAGUAGGGAAUCUUCCACAAUGGGCGCAAGCCUGAUGGAGCAACACCGCGUGAGUGAAGAAGGGUUUCGGCUCGUAAAGCUCUGUUGUUAGAGAAGAACGUGCGUGAGAGCAACUGUUCACGCAGUGACGGUAUCUAACCAGAAAGUCACGGCUAACUACGUGCCAGCAGCCGCGGUAAUACGUAGGUGGCAAGCGUUAUCCGGAUUUAUUGGGCGUAAAGCGAGCGCAGGCGGUUUGAUAAGUCUGAUGUGAAAGCCUUUGGCUUAACCAAAGAAGUGCAUCGGAAACUGUCAGACUUGAGUGCAGAAGAGGACAGUGGAACUCCAUGUGUAGCGGUGGAAUGCGUAGAUAUAUGGAAGAACACCAGUGGCGAAGGCGGCUGUCUGGU
rnacentral:rRNA from 1 species